rnacentral:ncRNA from 2 species
GCACAUAAAGGAUAAGCAGGUGCCCCUAACCAGGGGAUAAUAGGGAAUCAGGUGCAAUUCCUGAGCAGUCCCGCUACUGUAAGCGAUGAGUCGCUCCCCAGGAUGCCACCGAUAACCCGGGAAGGCGGGUGUAGCGACGAUGACCGUAAGCCAGGAGACCUGCCUGCUUGUCAAGUGCUCC